rnacentral:rRNA from 1 species
AUUGAACGCUGGCGGCAGGCCUAACACAUGCAAGUCGAACGAGGGGCGGGCGGGUGAGAAAUGUCUGGGAAUGUGCGUGAUGGAGGGGGAAAACUACUGGACACUGUAGCUAAUACCGUAUACUAUCAUCUGCGCCCAGAUGGGAUUAGCGAGUGGGUGGGGUAACGGCUCACAAAGGCGACGAUCCCUAGCUGGUCUGAGAGGAUGACCAGCCACACUGGAACUGAGACACGGUCCAGACUCCUACGGGAGGCAGCAGUGGGGAAUAUUGCACAAUGGGCGCAAGCCUGAUGCAGCCAUGCCGCGUGUAUGAAGAAGGCCUUCGGGUUGUAAAGUACUUUCAGCGGGGAGGCGUUACCCGCAGAAGAAGCACCGGCUAACUCCGUGCCAGCAGCCGCGGUAAUAC